GGGAGAAGACGAGGAUGAUGCGGAAAUUAACCCCAAGACUCCUCAGUAGAGCAACUUGACUUUCCAAGUGUUUCAUUCUUUUAAGGUGUAAUUUUUGUCUGUUAAUCAUUCAUACGUUUCUAGAAGGAACCCAGCCAGCCGGCGGAAUGCAAGCAGCAGUAGGAAGCGGAGGCGGGUGCCUGGCAGACCGGCUGUCGGGACUCCAGGCCUGUGGGCGGGGCCUCGGUCCUUGCCGCAGCACAAUCCCGUGGACAGAGCUUACUCCAUCUAACUCGUUUUCAAGUGCAUGAUUUUCACUUUCACUUUUCCUUUUUCCUUAUUAUUUUGCUUAACUUGUACAGUGGCAACUGAAAUGCAUUUCAGAAAUAGGAGGUUUCGUCCAGCACCCUCUGCAGCCUUGGUGCCUGUAGCUCUGGACUUCCCUGGGCCUUUCCCUGUGGGAGGGCCCUGUAGACCACAUCAGGGUGGGGUGGGGGUCACUUGGCAAAAAGGGCCGAGGUCUGGUGAUGUGGUUCCCAGGAUCUGGAACCUCUCCCACCCCUCCUGCAGUUGGACUGAAUUCUUCCCUUUCAUCCGAAGAAACCCACUUGCUGUUUCCAGCCGCUGAAUCUGCUGAGUGUGCAGCCUGCAUCACCUGCUGUAUGCCGAUCAUCUCAGAAAGGGCUGUGUAGAGUAGGGCCCUGUUCUCCUUAGGAUGUUGCUUCUU
rnacentral:misc_RNA from 1 species